rnacentral:ncRNA from 1 species
CUCUUUAGGGCGGGGUGCGAUUCCCCACCGGCGGUACAGCCCGCGAGCCCCCUGGGGCAUGAUUCGGUGAAACUCCGGAGCCGACAGUAUAGUCUGGAUGAGAAAAGA